rnacentral:rRNA from 1 species
UACGUAGGGUGCGAGCGUUUGUCCGGAAUUAUUGGGGCGUAAAGGGCUCGUAGGCGGUUUGUCGCGUCGGGAGUGAAAACACACAGCUUAACUGUGUGCUUGCUUCCGAUACGGGCAUCACUGGAGUUCGGCAGGGGAGACUGGAAUUCCUGGUGUAGCGGUGAAAUGCGCAGAUAUCAGGAGGAACACCGGUGGCGAAGGCGGGUCUCGUGGGCCGAUGACUGACGCUGGAGGAGCGAAAGCGUGGGGAGCGAACAGG